rnacentral:rRNA from 1 species
GUGAGGAAUAUUGGUCAAUGGGCGAAAGCCUGAACCAGCCAUGUCGCGUGAAGGAUGAAGGUCCUAUGGAUUGUAAACUUCUUUUGCAGGAGGGUAAAGUGAGCUACGUGUAGUUCAUUGCAAGUACCCUGCGAAUAAGCAUCGGCUAACUCCGUGCCAGCAGCCGCGGUAAUACGGAGGAUGCGAGCGUUAUCCGGAUUUAUUGGGUUUAAAGGGUGCGUAGGCGGACUAAUUAGUCAGCGGUGAAAUUUUGCGACUCAACCGUAAAACUGCCGUUGAGACUGUUAGUCUUGAGUGCGGUAGAGGUAGGCGGAAUGUGUGGUGUAGCGGUGAAAUGCUUAGAUAUCACACAGAACACCGAUUGCGUAGGCAGCUUACUGGAGCGCAACUGACGCUGAGGCACGAAAGCGUGGGGAUCGAACAGGAUUAGAUACCCGAGUAGUCC